GAUGAACGCUGGCGGCGUGCCUAAUACAUGCAAGUCGAGCGAAUGGAUUAAGAGCUUGCUCUUAUGAAGUUAGCGGCGGACGGGUGAGUAACACGUGGGUAACCUGCCCAUAAGACUGGGAUAACUCCGGGAAACCGGGGCUAAUACCGGAUAACAUUUUGAACCGCAUGGUUCGAAAUCGAAAGGCGGCUUCGGCUGUCACUUAUGGAUGGACCCGCGUCGCAUUAGCUAGUUGGUGAGGUAACGGCUCACCAAGGCAACGAUGCGUAGCCGACCUGGGAGGGUGGUCGGCCACACUGGGACUGAGACACGGCCCAGACUCCUACGGGAGGCAGCAGUAGGGAAUCUUCCGCAAUGGACGAAAAUCUGACGGAGCAACGCCGCGUGAGUGAUGAAGGCUUUCGGGUCGUAAAACUCUGUUGUUAGGGAAGAACAAGUGCUAGUUGAAUAAGCUGGCACCUUGACGGUACCUAACCAGAAAGCCACGGCUAACUACGUGCCAGCCGCCGCGGUAA
rnacentral:rRNA from 1 species